rnacentral:rRNA from 1 species
AUGCCUUGUCAAGCUCUUUUGUGGCAGAUGUUGGCAUUUUCUCCUCAUUUCUCCUAUUUUAAUUAUCUAUCUUCUAUUCUUCAUUCCGGAGGCAUUGCGAUGUUGUUCUUUUCACCCAUCAUCUCGUUUUGUCAAAGAUCAUGUUCUUUUCAUGCCUAUCCAUUUAACUGGAGUGUUGUGCCCUUUUUGCUCAAGUUCUUUUCGCCUUAUCAAGUCUUGCAUCCCUUCUCAACCGGAGUGCUGCCCGAAUUUGUUCUUCCUUGUUCUUUUUCCAAACGGGGUGAUUUCAACUUUGCUCAUUCUCGUUGCAUUCUUUCUUUCAAUUUGUUCAACCUCUCAAGGCUCGUGGUUUCACUCGUUUGUCAAAGAAACAACUUAGUUUUACCUCUUCUCUUUCUCUUCCGUUUUCCCUCCGGUGCCAUUCUAGAUCUCGGGACGAGAUCCUCUCGUAGUGGUGGAGUGUUGUAA